CGGCCCACCUAGCCUACGACGGGUACGGGCCCUGAGAGGGGGAGCCCGGAGAUGGGCACUGAGACAAGGGUCUAGGCCCUAAGGGGUGCAGCAGGCGCGAAGAUUCCGCAAUGCCCGAAAGGGCGACGGAGUGAACCCGAGUGCCACCCGCUGAGGGUGGCUGUUCCCCUGUGUAAAAAGCAGGGGGUAGAAAGGGGAGGGCAAGGCUGGUGGCAGCCGCCGCGGUAAAACCAGCUCCCCGAGGGGUUCCCACGCAUACUGGGCCUAAAGCGUCCGUAGCCGGCCCUGCAAGUCUGCAGUUAAAUCCGCCUGUAGACAGGCGGGCUGCUGCAGAUACUGCAGGGCUAGGGAGCGGGAGGAGCCGGGGGUAUUCCCGGGGGAGCGGUAAAAUGCGUAGAUCCCGGGAGGACCACCAGUGGCGAAGGCGCCCGGCUUGAACGCGUCCGACGGUGAGGGACGAAAGCUGGGGGAGCAAACCGGAUUAGAUACCCGGGUAGUCCCAGCCGUAAACGAUGCCGGCUAGGUGCCGGCUGAGGUUUCGGCCUCAGCCGGUGUCGAAGCGAAGGCAUUAAGCCGGCCGCCUGAGGAGUACAGCCGCAAGGCCGAAACUUAAAGGAGUUGACGGGGGGGCACCACAAGGGGUGAAUGCCUGCGGCUCAAUUGGACUCAACGCCGGGAAUCUUACCGGGGGCGACAGCAGGAUGAAGGUCAGGCUGAAGACCUUACCUGACGCGCUGAGGGGUGGUGCAUGGCCGUCGCCAGCUCGUGCCGUGAGGUGUCCUGUUAAGUCAGGCAACGAGCGAGACCCCCGCCCUCAGUUGCCAGCGGGGCCUUACGGCUGGCCGGGCAAACUGGGGGGACUGCCGGCGAAGAGCCGGAGGAAGGAGGGGGCUACGGCAGGUCAGUAAGCCCCUAAUCCCCCGG
rnacentral:rRNA from 1 species